AGCUGAGGCCGAAAGGCGUAGGUGAUGGACAACAGGUUGAUAUUCCUGUACUACCGAUAACCGUUUGAGAGAAGGGAUGACACAGUAGGAUAAGCUAAGCACACUGUUGGUUAUGUGUGCCCAAGCAUUGAGGCAGUCAAAGUAGGCAAAUCCGCUUUGAUAAUGCUGGGAUGUGAUGGGGAGCGAAAUUUAGUAGCGAAGUAGCUGAUUUCACACUGUCAAGAAAAGUCUCUAUCGAGGUUAAAGGUACCCGUACCGCAAACCGACACAGGUGGGUGAGGAGAGUAUCCUAAGGCCAGCGAGAGAACUGUUGUUAAGGAACUCGGCAAAAUGACCCCGUAACUUAGGGAUAAGGGGUGCCACCAUCAGGUGGCCGCAGAGAAUAGGCCCAAGCGACUGUUUACCAAAAACAUAGGUUUCUGCUAAGUCGCAAGACGAUGUAUAGGAGCUGACGCCUGCCCGGUGCUGGAA
rnacentral:rRNA from 1 species